rnacentral:ribozyme from 1 species
AUGUGGUUAUCUUUCUUUUUUUGGCCACCGUGCAUGUCGCGGAAACGAAAAACAAGGGAGAACACCCAUGAAGGGAGGAGAAGAGAUACGAAAAAAAGAAAGAUAUCUUUGCAUC